GGACAAUGAUAAACGAGAAAUCAUGUACCACAAUUUAGGUAAUACCAGAGACAGAUAAUCCAUAAGGCGGCAUAGGGCACAACCUAGGGCUUCGAUUUAGACAUUGGGCCCUCCUUGAGCCAGCAGGAAUCGUACUGCCUUGCCUUGUGCCCCUUCACUACCUCUGAACUUCUAUCCCUUGUGGUUUCAGCACUUCUUAAUGACUCAGUCAUUGAAUGAAUCCGG